ACGGUCAUACCAUGCUGAAUAUACCGGUUCUCGUUGGAUCACCGAAGUCAAGCAUCAUUGGGCGCGGUCAGUACCUGGGUGGGUGACCACCUGGGAAACACCGCGUGCCGU
rnacentral:rRNA from 1 species